ACUGUAAAUUCAGAGCUGGGGACUACAAAAUACCAGUUAAAAACUUGAGAAUAACCUAAUUUACAACUGAGAUAUUAAAGUUAAAUAAAGCAAAGUAGAAGCCUAUAAAAUUGAUUUGGUUUUGUGGCAUUGACUAUGGAUUAUGAAGCUAUCUAGGGAAAAAGUAAUUAUAGUCACUCUCAAGAACCAGCUAUAAACUGUAGUUGAUUUUUUUUUAAAUGGGACAUCUUCAUGCUAUAGAUUAUUUCACAGUCAUUUUUAAAAGCAUAUUCAAGGAAGAACUGAGCAGAUAUUUGGAAGUUGGGCUUGAAGUUUAGAUACCCAAUCUCAAUUUAGUUCUCUGAUAGCAAUGGAUUGAUGACUCAUAGGAAUGAUGAGGCUAGGAGAGCUGGCAGACAAUCACAGAGAGUGGAUUAGAAAAUCUGGCCCUAAAUAAUAAAACUCUGUACCAAGAGAUAGUAUUGUCUGCUCCCUUUAAAUAACAACACUCAUUUCUCUCUGGCAUAUGAAUUUCAUCUUCAAUAAUUGAUCAGGGUGACAGAAAAUCUGUUGCUGGCGAUGUGUGUUUAAAAUUACAUUAUUCAAUCUUCCUCAUCUUGGAGGCACUUUUCAUCUGCUCUUCAAAUCCAAGGCACAUGGAAAAAUACAGGGUGGAAACAGAGAAACACAAUAAAACGGAGUGGCUUAUAGGGAAGGACCAAGAAGAGUAGGGGAUUGGUGAAGUAGCCUGACGAUACUCUGUCCUUUUCCAUCGCUGGUCUUUUUGUGCCAAGGAUCUAGAGUGAAACGUGUCCAAGUGGACCAAGUGACAUAUUCAUCUGAAAGAAAGAUGGAGGAAGUGGUAGGAAUAAAAAUAGACUUGAUAACUCUGAAAAUGCCUGAUGAUCCUGCCAUAGAUUUGUGAUUUCAUUGAUUGAGUGAACUCUCUUCAUGCUACUCUACGCUGUAACAUAGAGUCCAGAGGAGUUGCUCAGAAGAUUUCAAGGGUCAGUGACUUGGACUAGAUAGCAUGGACCAUGUAUAUCAAAGGCAGAACUUGACGCCAACUCUUCCAGAUUCUAAGACCAUGUUUCCUACCAGGCUACCACACCUCCACAAGGUUGCUGUGAGACUAAAAUGCAAAGAGUAUAGAGUGUUUCACUAAUGUUGUAAUCUAUUAAACAUCAAGAAUUAUUACAGAUUAUAGCAUUAAACAAAAUGGCUUAAUAAAUUCUUGUUGACUGGACUUGUAAUGUGCUUUAAUUUCAAAAGUAUGAAUUUUACCCUCAUAUUCUCUAGCAGGGAUGCAGGUCUCCUCAUCAA